GGGACAACACGGACGGUCCUCACUGUGAGAGGUGUAAGGACAACCACUAUCAAAGGUCAUCAGAUGGAAGAUGCACAUCGUGUGAUUGUGAUCCUGUUGGUUCUGAUACUCUUCAAUGUGACGGAGCUGGGCAGUGUCAGUGUAAACCAAAUUAUACAGGAGAGAAAUGUACAAGAUCGACAGCGAGAGGUUGAAUUCUUCAAAUGCCUUCCAAUAAUUUCAAACUUUCCUAGAGAAAGGAAACAUAGACUAUUAUUUUAUGUAAAUCUAUUUGUAAGAAAUAAGAUUAGGAAUAAAAGUGAAUUCAAAUUA